AGAGUUUGAUCAUGGCUCAGGAUGAACGCUGGCGGCGUGCCUAACACAUGCAAGUCGAACGAUCUAUUUCGGUAGGUAGUGGCGCACGGGUGAGUAACACGUAGCUUACCUGCCCUAGACACUGGGAUAACGCACCGAAAGGUGUGCUAAUACCGGAUAAGCUCACGUUCUGUAGAGGGAUGUGAGAAAAGGCGAAAGCCGGUUUAGGAUGGGGCUGCGGCCCAUCAGCUAGUAGGUAGGGUAAAAGCCUACCUAGGCGACGACGGGUAGGGGGCCUGAGAGGGUGACCCCCCACACUGGGACUGAGACACGGCCCAGACUCCUACGGGAGGCAGCAGUGAGGAAUAUUGCUCAAUGGGCGAAAGCCUGAAGCAGCGACGCCGCGUGGGUGAUGAAGGUCUUCGGAUCGUAAAGCCCUUUUCUGUGUGACGAGAAAGGACGGUAGCACAGGAAUAAGUGUCGGCUAACUACGUGCCAGCAGCCGCGGUAAAACGUANGACGCAAGCGUUAUCCGGAAUUACUGGGCGUAAAGCGCGUGUAGGCGGUUUUGCAAGUCACUUGUGAAAGCUCCCGGCUAAACUGGGAGAGGUCAGGUGAUACUGCGGAGCUAGAGUGUAGUAAAAGGGUGCGGAAUUCCGGGUGUAGUGGUGAAAUGCGUACAUAUUCGGAGGAACACCAGAGGCGAAGGCGGCGCCCUGGACUACAACUGACGCUGAGACGCGAAAGCAUGGGUAGCGAACGGGAUUAGAGACCCCGGUAGUCCAUGCCGUAAACGAUGCACACUAGAUGUUCGUCUGGUACUGCCAGAUGAGCGUCGAAGCUAACGCGAUAAGUGUGCCGCCUGGGGAGUACGGUCGCAAGGCUAAAACUCAAAGGAAUUGACGGGGACCCGCACAAGCAGCGGAGCGUGUGGUUUAAUUCGAUGCUACNACGAAGAACCUUACCUAGACUUGACAUUUGCUGAAGUGGUCGGAAACGGUCACGGCCCGCAAGGGACAGCAGGACAGGUGCUGCAUGGCUGUCGUCAGCUCGUGUCGUGAGAUGUUCGGUUAAGUCCGAGAACGAGCGCAACCCUCGGUGUUAGUUACAAGUGUCUAACACGACUGCCUGCGACAAGCAGGAGGAAGGUGGGGAUGACGUCAAGUCAGCAUGGCCUUUAUGUCUAGGGCUACACACACGCUACAAUGGCGCGUACAAUGGGUCGCGAAGCCGCGAGGCGGAGCCAAUCCUAAAAAGCGCGUCGUAGUUCAGAUUGUAGGCUGCAACUCGCCUGCAUGAAGUCGGAGUUGCUAGUAAACGCGAAUCAGCAUGUCGCGUUGAAUACGUUCCCGGGUCUUGUACACACCGCCCGUCACGUCAUGGGAGCUGGUCACGCCUGAAGUCGGGAAGAUAACCGCAAGGGAUCUACUGCCGAAGGCAGGGCCGGUGACCGGGACGAAGUCGUAACAAGGUAGCUGUACCGGAAGGUGCGGCUGGAUCACCUSCUU
rnacentral:rRNA from 1 species